AGGCCCCCUAUUGCAUAUACUCCUAACAGGACUAUAUGGUGCUAUAAGUAUAAAACGCUCCAUUACCACCUUUCUACACCUCAGUAACAAACAUAUAAAGGUGAUGUGCGGCUAACCCGGGCUGCCACAGAUUGUGUUGUGGCUCAGCUCUCACAUGUCAUGUAAACACCGUGUUACAUAAUAAAUGUGAUAACCCAGUAAUACCAUAAAUUCAUCUCAUGCGGCCAAAUGCUAACCCUGUAUGGACUGAUGGUGAUUCGCCCACCUCGGCUUCAAGUAGAAAGUGAAACUACUUUCUGACUACUUUGACUAAUAGUUAGAUUCUCAAGUGGUCAGAUGAUCCUUAGAUAUGGAGAAAUAAAUACAAGGGAAGGGCGUUAACAUCGAUAUAAAUGCACUAUUAACCCUGGAGUGGAUCGGAAGGGACACGCGUAGUUCAGGGAUGUGACAGAGAUUCAAUAUUUCACAGAAUUUGCUCCCUUUCCACGUUUCUAUCCUAAAAUGUUCCUUCCCUCCUCCUGUGCCCGCCACAGACUCCAACAGAGAGGAGCGGGGCCCUCUGCCUGACCUGCUUCCCCAGCAUGAGCCCCACCAGCGUGGCCCCGGAGGAGAGGCGGUGCAGCAGCUGGACGUGAGGAGGGUGGGCCGCCAGCUGAGGAGGAUCGGAGACGAAUUAGACGCCACCGUCUUCCACAGAGCGGACGUUCCCCCCCAGUGGUAUCACUGGAGAGAUGCCACCUGGGAGCUCCUCAACUUCUUGGCCCAAAUGAUGAGCACGUUCUACAGGCUGAGGUAGACCUCCUCCAUCCUGGCCAUGUCGCUGGAAAAAAUCCAUCUUCUCUUCCUGGAGACAGGCGCUGGCAGGAUGAGGCGUUCUGUCAGUCAGUGUGCUGGUUCAGACUGCAGCUGAUGGAUAUGGACCUUCUGUUUAUUUUGUAAAGUUUGUAUAUUUCUGUUUAUUCGUCCCCGUCUCGGUGGGGGGGGGGGCGGGUCAGGUCCUUGUGUAGCAGAUGUGAGUCCGUGCGUGGAUUCGUUGAAAAGACUUGGGUCAACCUGUGGUUUGUGCGACGCUGUGAUAUCAGACCCGUUAACUUUCCCUUUAACUGCAGAUAAAAGCUCCUCUCCUCUCCCACAGAUCUGAUUUGACCCUCUUCUGAUGUACGAGUCGGGGUUUUUUUUUUUUUUUUUUUUUGUUCCCCGCUCCCUUUUGAAAGCUGUGAAAUCGGAAGCCGUGGUUGCGUUUGCAGGGAAUUCUUUUUGGGGUGCAAACCUACUAUUUGAGCAAAGCACAGAUGUGACGAGCCUUUUUCCGCUGAUCUGGAACUGCUUCGCUUCACCACCUAAACGUGCCUUCCUGCCUGAGGCCUCACCUCCAACACGGCGACAAUCAGCAGCGCACACAUUUCACUCAAAGUGCUUCGUUUUUUUUAAGCCGCUGAACCCGAGAGCGGUUUGCAUUAAAUUAAAACGUGGAGAAGCGGAUUUUUCUUCCCUCAGUGCAGACUGGCAGGCUUGUUUACAGAGAUCGUAGUUCCUCGAUUGACUGUAAAUUGUAUUUUUUACAUAAAUUUAUGUUAUUUGAUGGACGUUAAAAGAAUAUGUAAUGUUUCUGUUUUUCUUUUUAAAUUCCUGGGCGUUUCUUGGUUAUAACAGUUGACAUUUAAAUCCAGUGGAUUUGACAAAGGUAUUCAAUUAGCAGCAGGAAAAAAAAUUGAUUUGUUGUAAAAUGGACCCCAUUUUUUUUUUCUCUUUUGUGCGAUUGAUGAUAAAGCUCUUCUUAAGAAGAGUGUAAUUUAUUUUUGUUCCUUGUUUUUGAUGAUGAUGUAUUUAUUUUUUUCAUUAACUAAGACUUAAACUGUACUUGAGUUGUAGCCAAUGAAAGAGGUGCUCUCGCAUGCACCGAAGGGAAGAAGUUGCAUGAAAAACAAUAAUAAUAAUAAUAAAAAAAGAGCUUUGAUCACAUUGCAGCUCAGAACAAAACGAAUGGGAUGAUCUGUGUGUGACAUUUGUAGCAAAUACGAUAGAAAAACGAUGAACUUCUCAAAGCUAAAAAGAAAAGGCGAUGAAGUAGAAAUGUGGCGUCACAGACUCGUACCUCAGCAGCUUAAAACUGACUGAAAAAAAAAAACAGGAUAUGCUGGAAAUUGAACGUGGCAGUUCUGAUCAGGUAAAAAAGUAAAUGUUUAAUGCACGUACUGUAACAAAUUUUGGGUUCACGUUUACUGGAAUAUUUCAGGUUUUAAUUCAAGAAACUCCAUGCAGUUUCAGAUUUUUAAUUCUCUGCUCAUCCCUCUCGGUCAUUUGUUGGAUGUUUUUAAUAUUUCCUGUAUAAACUCGUGACGGACCAAACCGAGUUGGACCUGCUGCGGCGACUCGCUUCCAGAACUCAUGUUUCCUGGUGACAUUCUUCUUGAUUCGUUUCUCCGACAGCAGAGCCAUUAAUUAUUCACGUCCGAUGGUUUGUAUUUUUAUUUUUUUUGCCGUUUUUCAUCUUCUUUUUUUUUAUUGUAAAAAUUCUACAUGGAUUUUGUACUUUUUCUGUUUAUGAAAAUAAAAUCGAGAAUAGAAA